GUUAAAAUUCUUAUUUCAUGGUAUAACUUUGGUAUGCUUGGACCUAGAGUCUUCAAACUUGACAUGAAGGUUGGCCAGGAUUAACAGAUGACCACUGGUCAUUUCAAGGUCAUUCAUUUGAAGGUCAAGGUCACUGUGACCUUCAAUAUAAAAAAUGUUAAAGUUCUUAUAACUUUGGUAUGCUUGGACCUAGAGUCUUGAAACUUGACAUGAAGGUUGGCCAUAACUAGUUAGUAACCACUGGUCAUUUCAAGGUCAUUCAUUUGAAGGUCAAGGUCACUGUGACCUUGAAUGUAAAAAUGUUAAAGUUCUUAUUUCAUGGUAUAACUUUGGUAUGCUUGGACCUAGAGUCUUCAAACUUGACAUGAAGGUUGGCCAGGAUUAACAGAUGACCACUGGUCAUUUCAAGGUCAUUCAUUUGAAGGUGAAGGUCACUGUGACCUUCAAUAUAAAAAUGUUAAAGUUGUUAUAACUUUGGUAUGCUUGGACCUAGAGUCUUGAAACUUGACAUGAAGGUUGGCCAGAACUAGUAAGUAACCACUGGACAUUUCAAGGUCAUUCAUUUGAAGGUCAAGGUCACUGUGACCUUGAAUGUAAAAAUGUUAAAGUUGUUAUAACUUUGGUAUGCUUGGACCUAGAGUCUUGAAACUUGACAUGAAGGUUGGCCAGAACUAGUAAGUAACCACUGGACAUUUCAAGGUCAUUCAUUUGAAGGUCAAGGUCACUGUGACCUUGAAUGUAAAAAUGUUAAAGUUCUUAUUUCAUGUUAUAACUUUGGUAUGCUUGUACCUAGAGUCUUCAAACUUGAAAUAAAGAUUGGCCAGUACUAGAAGAUGACCACUGGUCAUUUCAAUGUCAUUCAUUUGAAGGUCAAGGUCACUGUGACCUUAAAUGUUAUUGUUGUUCAUGUAUAUGCAUGCAUUCAAAACAUAACACAAGGUUUGCUCAUGCCUUGAAAAGUACUUACAUUUCAUUUUGACCUUUGAACAAUAUUUCAGUAAUUUAAGUAUUGCAUUGACAAAAACACGAAAGGUACUUUCCUGUCAUUUAAAUCAAAAAUCCGGCUUCAAUGCGGUCAUCUCCGACCGCGGAACUCUUGUUCAUGAACUAUUUUGGCAAUAGUUGCUGUUGUCUUAAUUGUAUAUAUUUUAUUACACUGUUUUCUUAUUUAAAGAUAUACCUUAUUGAUCAGUGACAUCUUUCGACGCUAUUUAGUCCAUAGCGUCUUGAUAAGUAAAGAAAAAACUACACCACCAUCAUGAUGUUUGUACUCACCGGUACUGUACUGAACAUUGAAUUACUAGUACUAUACAGUUCUCCCGUUGUCAAAAUGCACAGCCGCGUGCUAGAGAACACUGAAAAUUAAUAUGUGCAAUGUUGUUGUGCAUAAAAGCAUAUUUUAGCAUAACAUUGAUUAAAUGAACAUUCUUAUAUACUACAGGACACAUAGAUUUUGUCUAGUAAAUAAAUACAUUGUAGUUAGUUUUGCCCAACUUUGAAGGUAAAAAUCUUACUUGGGUCAAAACAAGACUUUUAUAGUGGCAUUAAACAAUAGACAAUCAGAAAUCGAUAACUCCCGGAUUACCACCCUGAAUACUCGCAUGCGCCGCCAUUACAGUACUGAAGAACCUUCAGGGACCUAUACAAACAUAUAGGUCCCUGCAUUGUUCUUCAGUGGUAUCCGGACAAUCGGCACCCAGUGUUUUUAGGCAUACGCGGACAGUCGGCACCCUGUAAAUUUGUCGACCCGGACAAUCAGCACCCGAUUUAAUUGUAUACCCGGACAAACGGCACCCGAUUAAAGGCGAUUGAUAAAGCCCGUCAGCAUCUUGUUGAACUAAUUAGUCUAAUCCGCUAAUUGGUUUGGUAAAAGAGAUGAUUAGAGAUAAAAUACCGUCAACAAACUGUGUCAUCAAACCAAUAUAAGUGUGGAUUGAUUAACGUUAUCUUCUAAUUGGUUUAAUAACACCUCUUAACAAUUUACGAACGUCAAAGACAAUUAAAUAAUUCCUGAACUUAUGAUUUCUCCCAAAAACAACAAACUGCGAAUGAAAAUAAGCUUACAUAGAAGAACAAAAAUGGAAACAUUUCAUAACAAACAUGCAAUUCAUCACAACACGUAACGGUGUGCGAAGGUUGUGUUUCGAAAAUCAGCUGCUGACAACUUUAGGUGAUUUGCUUUAUUUGCAUUUGAUUAUACAUGUACUAUUUGACAACAAAUAAAAUUACAGGAUGGAAAUUACAAA